UUUUUUUUUUUUUUUUUUAAAGCAAUUUAAAUCAAUCUCAUUUAUAUUUGUCAAUUUCUAAAAGCUUUGUUAGGAGCGACCCUUAACUUAAAUGCUUUGCACUUUCUUAUUUGCUCUCCUUGAACUGCAAAACUACUGUCACAUACAUGCAAAUUUUUAAUUUAUCAGACCCACGAUGGGACGGAUCACCUUCAGAUUCCUUUAUAUUUCACCACGCACAGACGAACAUGGCUGCCAGCGAGGCUCUGUCUGAACGUGAACAUGGGGGCCUGGCACACACAUCCCCCCUGCUCAUUUACCUACACACUUCAAAAGGCACAAUGACAGGGUUCACCCACCAAAUCUAUAAAAGGUUUGGGGAAACAAUGUAUGUAUUGUUGAUUGGCAUUUCAAAUUUAUGCUGUGUUUAUUCUAACAUUAUAAUCAAUUUGUAUUCUCCGCAUAUACAGCCACCUUUUAAUAGUACAUUUGAGGAUUCUUUUUUCCUGCUUCCUGGUCAGGACAAGAAUUCCAAAUCUGCUGUGGCUGGUGAGCCUGCCAAUUUUUAAAAACUGAUUUCCCCUUUUAAAAACCCCUCUUUUCGGCAACUGACGUUCUAACUCGAGCUUGAGAAGUGGUGGAAUUUUAUUCCUGCAUUCAACAUCUAACCAAACUACUGCCUUUGAGUUCAGUUGGGAUCUGUAAUAUAUUCAUCCAAUUUCUACCAUGAAAUAUUUUCAUCCAUAUUAUAGCUUCUAUGUGCAAGAGAAGGGGCUCAAAAAAUUCACUAUUUAGAAAAUAACUAGCAUGGGUUUGCUAAAAUCUCUAUCAAGCUUUAUUAGACCCCCGCAGAAGCACAUAAAGUAUUCCACAGAACCAAAUAUGGAUAGAAGAAUAGAAUUUUGAAGAGGGUAUAAAUUUAACCAGGUGGGAUGAUGGGGGUCAUGCCUAUUUCCAAUAUAGAAAUGACUGCCCAAUUGUCCUGUGAUGUCAUUUAAAACAGAGAAAAAUUCAUCUUGGUAGGGAGAAAAAAAACCCCAUCCAUUUAAUGUUAACAAAUUACUUUAUAGGAAAAAAGAAUACUUUAUAUUAAAUUAUUAUUCACUGAGAGAAUAUAAAUUAAUUAUAGACAAUUUCUUCUUUGGCACUGAAAAAAUUAAGUGGAAUGUGGAGGAAUUUCCCCCUAGUUCUAAGAGAAAAAAAAAAUCUCGGUAUUCUCACAGCCAUCACCCAGACUAUAGACUACAGAGUCUAAAAGUUAGAAAUUUUUAUCUUCUAUAGAAAAAUGUUUACUGUAGUGACUAGAGUUAAAAAAAAAAAAAAAAAAGCCUCAGGAUUUUGUGGACAUUUCCACUGCUCAUAGGGUUUACAGUUGUUUAAACAUUUUGAGCUUUUUGUCUCAACUGCAUCUGAUUCUAUUCAGACCAAAAUCACUGUUUUGUUCACCUGAUUGCAGGGCAAGCUCCAUUUUCCUUCCUGGGACUAACUAAUGGUCCCCCUCUAUUUUUACCCAACCGUACCAGAAAUAAAAUUAUUGGAGCAUUGGUCCAUACCACUAAAACAAAGGGACAAAGGAGGACCCCACCCCCCCACCCCCCAGCCCAGAGAAGGGCCAUUUGAUUUGCUUGAUGGCCAAAUUACUUCAGGAUGGGGAGCAGCAUGGUCAGGGGCAAGCCUGUGACUGACAACGAGGCCAUCCCUGAAGGAGUGAGUGUGGGCCACUCGCAACAUCUCAGCCCCAGCCCUGAGCUUUCCUCCUAGUCCCGAUUCCCUUCCAUGCGCCUUUCCUUGGCCUUGACGCGAAUUGUUACUGCCUGUGUGUGAUCCUCAUAAUUUCAUGGAGGUGGUCCAGUUGGACCAUGAGUGCUUUGUUAGUGGCUCAUGAGGAAUCACAAGAUAGUCAUUAAAAAAAAAAAAAAAAAAAAAAAAGCAACACUACCUUAUUGAGUUACAGGGCCAGAGUGACUUCAGCCAUUAAAGUAUCGGUGUUUGGAAGGAAAAUACAAUAGACCCAAAUGUGGUUUGUGUUUGUAUAAACUUGACAGGGCAGCACUGCAGCAUGUGAAGGUAGGUGGUGGUUCUAUUUUGCCAGAGAGGCAAAGUGACAGGAAUGAGGUGACCCAGAAGCCAAUGUCCUAGGCCAGGAUCAUGUCUAUUGAAUCAGGAGACUGAAGCUUUGAAUGUCCAGCUUAUACUAGGAUGGGAUUGUCCUGUGGUUCCUUUUGGAAAGCAAGGGCCUCUUAGUACUCUUCACAGUCUGAAACCCUAAUCCCCAUGCACUUUCACCCUAAAGGCCACUCCCCUUCUCUGCCUGGGCUGGCAUCAGCCUGCUUCAGUCUGAGACUGAAUUUGAGACUCCUUGAUUUCCCUAAGUGCAGGUCAAGGGGACCCCCAUGUGAUGCCACCCUCUGGCUGGAAUUCCAUCUGUGUGGAGAACACAGCUUCAGUCUGUCUGACCAACAUCAGCAUCUAGAGCUGGGGCCUGUUCAUGGGCAAGAGUUGAGAUGUGAGGAUAUGACUGGUCUCAGGCUGAGGACAAGGUCAGAAACCAUCUCUACUUCUUGUUGCCUGAGUUUUUCCAUCUUUCUCCUUUGUGUCUCACCUUCUACUACUAUCUUAACAGUCUUUCUAUCACGACUUGGCUAUUACAAGUGCUCCAGCCUCCAUUGGUAAAACUUCCAUUUUAUCUCAUUUGUCAUCAUCUGUGAAGAUGCUGUACUAGAAGAGAACAAAGCUGACUCCAUAUUGGAUCAGUUUACUUUAACCUCUCCUGCUUUUGCUACAAGUUAAUCACUAAAGGGAUGUUGCCUAUGGUUUCAAGUAUACAUAAUGGCCCAUCUUGGGGAACCCUGCCUCCCAUGCCUGAGUGUUAACCUAAAACACCUUUGCUUAGCUCACAGGAAACAUUCUCAUCAGGCCUACCUGUGACUGGUUGUGGGAAGGAAGAAUUAACACAUCCCCUCCAGGGGCUGAUGGGAACCAAGAAGUGUCUGCAACAACUUAUCACCUUUUCAAAUCUACCUCCUCACCUCUCCCUCUUUGUUCUAUAAAAGAAAAUAGCCUGCAAAUCCUGGUGGGCAAGAUGGGUUCUUUGGGACACUAGUCCACUAUCUUCUCAGUCAGCUAGCUUUCUGAAUAAAGUCGCUAUUCCUUGCCCCAACUUCUACUUAUUGGUCUAUGGUGUGGCAAGUAGAACGAGGUUGGCCCUGGUAAUGAUCUCACCUCAAAACCCUUAGCUGUGGAUACAGACAUGCACAGGGCAAGUCCUGUAGAGGGAGGGUUUUGACCCCUCUUUUCUUCCCACCUUCCCGCUCUUUGUCUUCCUGACAUUGUCAGUGCUCUGUCUGCAGACUGACUGCACCCGAGCGCUGUGAGACCUCAAGGGCAUCACAGACGAGCCGAGGGGACAUCCCACUUAACACACUGAUGAAACGGAGCAACUCUUUCCUGGAUAGACCCAGACAGCUCCCAGACUCUCCGGGGCGGGGCUGUCCACCUGGCUUCCCAGACCAUCACUGUAUCUGAGCCUUCCUCACUGAGGGAAUCACAUCUUGAUCCUGACCUGGAGAUAAAGAGAUUGAUCCCAUUAUGGCAGAUAAGGUCAGGGCACUUGCUUUUUUCUAGCCACUUUGGUUGGGCUUGGCAGACAGACAAGGAGUAGAGUAGAGAGUAGCAAGUAUACAACCAACCUCACGUUUGGAUAGAGACGAGCCAAGAUGAUGGGUGAGAAAUCUGGCACCAAAGGCAACUUGUUCAUCCUCUCUAACCUACCCGGUACUGCCCCCACCAGGACCUAGUCCAUGGUCACCAUCUUUUUCCUGCUGAGAAGAGACCUGUCCUCCAAGCUCCCUAGAAGCAUGGGCACCAGCUGGCUUGGGGAGCCCCUGGCCAGCUGUCAGAGGGAGAAAUAGCAGGUGAGUGGGGGGCAGGGAGCUUCUUUCUCCACCUGCCUGCACCAGCCCCCCUACACUAGGUCCUCCUGGCUUCUUAGCAGAUGGAUUCCCAGACAUUCCUGUCUUUAGACCCGCUAAGGCUUAACUCUCUGUCCACCCGAGCCAUGACAGUAAAGCCACUCUAAAAGUGAGCAACGCUAACAGCCCUGCUCCCCCAUGGCCCUUACCAGCUAGUGGGGGGUAAGAGGAACAAGGUAGAGCAUCAAAACUUCAGUGUUAUUAGAAACACAGUGUUAUUAAUAAUAGGAGGUAUAAUGGGAGCAGAUUUAUGUUUCUUGAGUCCACCCUGGAUGCUGUGUGGCUGGGGACUGGGAGCAGAGACUGGAGACAGGUAGGCCCGAUGCAGAUGGAGGCCAGGGUGGGGGCCUGAGAAGGGAGGUGGUGGCCUCUGCUUGGGUGGCAACUCUAGAGAUGGGGUGGAUGUGGGCAUGAAGGAGACAAAGGUGCCAGGGUGACAGCAUGCUUGGGGCUUAUGCAGUUGGCUUGCUAGGGGCUCCUGGCACCUGGAAACUACAGGGCAGAUUUUUGGUAUCCUCCAAUGCACCCAUAUCUUGGCCACAAGACUAAGAAUGUCCCAUAAGGGAAUAUCUGAGGCAGGAAGCAGGGGUGGGGUCCCUGAACCACACCCCUUAUUGUACAUAAUGGCUGAACCCUUGGGCCAACAUCUGAUGUCUGCUUCAUGUGUGGGACUUGGAUGUGGCAGAAGUGCCUGUGUUGUCCCCCAGCUCCCCGGCUGGUCUAUAGGGGAACAUGCCGCUGGGUGAAGCCUUAGGCUGGGAUCACAGGAGGCACUUUUUCAAAUGGAAUGACAGUCAUGUAAGCAGGUGUCUUUCAAAAAUACAGAGAUGGGAGAGUUCCUGUUAGGGCUCCGCAGGUUAUAAACCCAACUAAUAUCCAUGAGGGUGAGGGUUCUAUCUUUGGCCUCACUCAGUGGGUUAAGGAUCUGGCUUUGCUGUGAGCUGUGGUAUAGGUUGCAGAGUCAGCUCAGAUCCUAUGUUGCUGUGGCUAUGGUGUAGGCCAGCAGCUGCAGCUCUGAUUUGACCCCUAGGCUGGGAAAUUCCAUAUGCUGCAGGUGCGGCCCUAAACAAACAAAUAAAUAAAUACAGGGAUCCACACAAUGGCAGGUGAUGCUCCCCCUCGCCUUGCCCCUGGCCUAAGGAGACGAAGACAAAAGCAAUUAAUCAGUGCAGGCACACACAUAAAGAAUGGUGUCAUGCUGACAGGACAGCCCAGCUUCCAGAAUUGGGGCCAAUUCCUGACCUAAUCUCAUUCACCAAGAAGCAACUGCAUAUCCAGAGAGAGCCAACGGAAGACAGCCCAGACCCUAUGUGAAACUUGGCGGGGUAUAAAUACAUUAAACAAACAACAAAUCACAUCAUCUCCCUGAAUGCCGUGACAGGAAUCUUCUGACUUUAGGUGGGCGCCUUACUAGAGCUGUCAAUGGUCUCUGCCUAAAUGAAAUAGGAAUUACUACUGCUUUUCAUUGGAUGGAAAAUAGUCCCAGCUGUUCUGAAGAGCCCUUUUUCCAGAAGCCGGUCUGUUCUCACUGCACAACAAUGAUGCGCCCCUAAUACGUGCCAGGCAUGGUUCUUGGGGUGCUGCAUACACGUGCUAAUUUGAUCCUUGUAUCCUCCCCGGGAGGCAGGACCAUUAUUUUACAGCUUCACAAAGGGAUGCAUAGAGAAGUUAAGGAACUUGCACAAGGGCACACGGCAGUGACCAGUGACACAGCCAGGAUGUGAAUCCAGGGCUAUGCUCCAUCAUUUUCAUCAACAAGUUCAGUAGCUUAGUCCUGUGUGAGGGUUUCAGCCACUCACCCCGCCUCUCUUCUCCCCCAGUUCUAAAGCCUGUGUUCAUCUGCCCUGGUCUCUGGUCUUGCUAGUAUGGGUACGUGGGGACAUCAGGGGCAGCUGGUACUGUGUGCCUCUGAACAUGAACCCAUUCCCCAUGCUUUCAACAUUUCUCCAGUUAAGGCUUAGGUUGCUCUAAAACAGAUGUCUGAUUAUUACCUGGGAUAAAAAAAAUUCCAGGUGGAAACUCUACAGAAGCCAAUAUCCAGUGUUGAGAGCAUAGGGUUUUAAAUUUUGCAGAGAUAGAAAUCUAACAUUCAAACAGAAAGAAAUUCUGCAAGUCUCUGAAACACUUCAAAAACUGAUCUGCAGAGGCAGACAUAAAUCACUGUGAAGGAAACUUUUCCUCCUAAUAGGAAAAAAAAAAAAAAACCCUAAAGGAAAAAAAGUUGCGGAAAUGACUCAUGGAUGUGUAUGGAGGCGAGGGAAAGUGGGCCCUGGGGAGCCACAUGGAUGGUUUACAGAGGCCUCAAGGCCCAGCUGGGAGGAGGAGGCUGGGAAAUGAGGCCCCUGGAGCACAUCUGAGCUUCUAACUUGUUCCUUCUUUUUCUUCCUCCACAGCUCAUGACUCAGAAACACCUGGGGUAGGUGCUAAGCGGGGCCUAGGAGCCUGGGCUCAGGCUGCUCAGAGCCCAGACCUUGAAGGGGCAGGACAGCAACGUUGUAGGCCUCCGCCUCUUCCCAGCUGUGUGACCUCCAGCCAUUAGCCUGCCUUCUCUGAGCCAAUUUCUGCAUGUGCAAUAUGGUGAUAGCAGUACCUACUAUAUGGGUGAGGGGCGGCGGUGGCGGUGUGGAUUAUGAAGAUAGAAAACACCCACACCAAGUGCUGAAGAAACACUACAAAGUGAUAGUAACAGUGGCAGUAAUAAUAAGUGGGGGUUGGGGUGGGGAGGCUGGCAAAUCCCUUUAUGUCCCGGAUCAUGGUGCUCAGGGACCAGGUGGCCAGUUCAGAUCCAGCCCCGAGGGACAGAGACCACACACCUUGGACACUCCCAAUUCAGAUGAUGUCCCUGGAGCCUGAGCCAACUGUGGGGAAUGAUCCUGGACUGAAUGGUACCCCAACCCCUGCCCUGCCUCUUCCUGCUCACUGGCCCCGCCCCUCUGAGCAGAGCAGGUACUGCAGGCAGGGAGGCUGGGAAGAGGUGGCCUGCCUUGAUUGUGGGGGCUGAGUGGAGGGGUGGAUGCAGCCGGGUGAAGAGUUCCCAGUGACCUUGGAUCUUCCCGCAUGCUGGACUGGCUCCAAAACCACAUCAGGUCACACUCAGGACAACUCCUGCAGACCAGCAUGGACCCCCUCACUGGCUGGUGGAGCAUUCACGCCAACAACCAGGGUUAUGAAUAACCAUCACCCUUCCGAGCAGGGUCUACGUUUCCAAUCCUGUGACCUUAAAUCAUUAACCAGCCCGCUUUCUCUCUCAUUUGUGGAGUCAGUGAGAACAGCUCCCCACUGCCCACACGGGCCACCGUAUCAUCUUACAGAGGGACCCCGGGCUGCCUGGGCCUGUCACAGGCCUGCAUCCAGGAGGCAGCUCCCCCCUCCCCCAACCCAUGGGCUCCAUGACAAAGGCUCUGCCAGCACCACCCACCCACUCGGCAAACUCUGAUCAAACCCCGGCUGUUGGCCCAGGCCACCGGGCUGCCUGGAGACAAUGAGCCCUCUCAGCAUGCUUUAAAUCCAAUGACCAAACACCCUUCUUUAUGGCAAUGCCGCUUGACCAUUCUCAAGUACAGUAACUCCUAUAAAGAAAGAUACGAAUGGUGCAAAAGUGAACGAUGGGGCCAUUCUUACGCAUAAAAGGACUUCUCUGUGUAGGCUUGUUGUGAAUUGUCCUUUUUCAGUGCCUUGAUUGUCAGCCCAGAGAUUGACGGCAGAGCUGAGCCAGCGCUGGCCACAGUCGGUUGCAGGGAGGUGCUCCUAGGGGGGCCACCCAGAGUCACUCACUUCUUUUCAGGCUGUGGGGUGGUUUGGGAAGGCGGGGUGCCCAAGGGCUCCUGGAACUGGAACAGGGUGGGGGUGGGGCUGCAGCAGAGGAAACCUGAGUGGGCCGGGGAGAGAGGUCACGUUCUUUCCCUGAAAAGUUGCCAGAGAGACUCCUGGCUAAGGAACAGGUCUGGAAUGUGCAGCAGCUUCAUCUGCAGGACACAGUUUCCUUGGGGCUUGGGGGUGAGCCUCGGCGGGCCCCUCGCCUGACAUGGCAUAACCGGGAGCACAGUGUGGCCGCACCCACAGAGGGAAAUUCCCCAGAGAUUCCCCCAGUGGGCACUGGAGGAUCAGCAGUGCUCAGGAUCAGCUGCUCCUCUCAGCCCUAAGGAUGGGCACUAGGACCUGGCGCUCUAUCUCCGCCUGCCCCACCUAAAAUACUUCCAAUUUCUACCCCACAUGAAAAUACUUCACAUAUUUGUAGUUCUUCGAAUAUGCUCAGCCUUUGCACCCUCCCUCAGGCCUCUGUAUGCAUCUUCAGCCUCUGAUGCAGUCUACCUCCUCCUCCUUCACCAAGAUUGAGGUCUGGGAGCUUCCUCAGGGCUGGA
rnacentral:lncRNA from 1 species